rnacentral:rRNA from 1 species
UACGGGGGGGGCAAGCGUUGUUCGGAAUUACUGGGCGUAAAGGGCUCGUAGGCGGCCAACUAAGUCAGACGUGAAAUCCCUCGGCUUAACCGGGGAACUGCGUCUGAUACUGGAUGGCUUGAGUUUGGGAGAGGGAUGCGGAAUUCCAGGUGUAGCGGUGAAAUGCGUAGAGAUCGGGAGGAACACCAGAGGCGAAGGCGGCAACCUGGACAAGCACUGACACUCAACUGCGAAAGCGUGGGGAGCAAACAGG